CACGUAGGGGGCAAGCGUUGUCCGGAUUUAUUGGGCGUAAAGAGCUCGUAGGCGGCUCAGUUAGUCGGGUGUGAAACCCCCGGGCUCAACCCGGGGACGCCACCCGAUACUGCUGUGGCUAGAGUCCGGUAGGGGAGCGUGGAAUUCCUGGUGUAGCGGUGAAAUGCGCAGAUAUCAGGAGGAACACCAGCGGCGAAGGCGGCGCUCUGGGCCGGAACUGACGCUGAGGAGCGAAAGCGUGGGUAGCAAACAGG
rnacentral:rRNA from 1 species